rfam:Camelus ferus unplaced genomic scaffold scaffold1894, whole genome shotgun sequence.
AAAAAGGCUUUAUUUGAAGCUAUUGAUAUAAACUUAAUUACAUUGU